GCGGCGUCCGCCUGACACACCGAAUUACUGUCUCUCCCCAAGGAGACGGGAUGCAGCCCCAAAGAGCUGGCUGGGAAGUGCCCUACCUGGCAAGAAAUUCUCCAAAUAUUAAGAACUUAAAUGAAAAUCCAACAUCUUCCAGAUGGCUUCCUCACACACAAAAAUUAAUCCACUUCCUAGGUGAAAGGCUUUGGUCUCCAAGGCUCAACUCAGAUCUAUCUGAUACAAACCUCUUGUGUGAGAUGUCGAAGCUAAAUUUACUGAGCACAACCAUCAGAUGAGCACCAGAACCAGCACAGGAGUGAGAGAGCCAGAAAGAGAAGUUCAGUGUCAAAGAGUGACACAUUCCAGUGGCUGUGUCAGUGCCUUAGCUCCUGUUGGCAACCACAGCACAACUUCCAGCACAAAGGGCCUGUACAGGUAUCAGUGACUGUCUUUGAAAAAAAAACAAACACUUUCAGUUGAUACCAUCAUCCUGCCUGUGGCACAGAAAUGCAGGCACAUAUGUAAUGUGUGUGCA